rnacentral:rRNA from 1 species
AGCGAACGCUGGCGGCAGGCCUAACACAUGCAAGUCGAACGAAGUCUUCGGACUUAGUGGCGGACGGGUGAGUAACACGUGGGAACGUGCCUUUAGGUUCGGAAUAACUCAGGGAAACUUGUGCUAAUACCGAAUGUGCCCUUCGGGGGAAAGAUUUAUCGCCUUUAGAGCGGCCCGCGUCUGAUUAGCUAGUUGGUGAGGUAAAGGCUCACCAAGGCUACGAUCAGUAGCUGGUCUGAGAGGAUGACCAGCCACAUUGGGACUGAGACACGGCCCGAACUCCUGCGGGAGGCAGCAGUGGGGAAUCUUGCGCAAUGGGCGAAAGCCUGACGCAGCCAUGCCGCGUGGAUGAUGAAGGUCUUAGGAUUGUAAAAUCCUUUCACCGGUGAAGAUAAUGACUGUAGCCGGAGAAGAAGCCCCGGCUAACUUCGUGCCAGCAGCCGCCGUAACAC